rnacentral:rRNA from 1 species
UUUGCUCUUUAAAAAUCUGGAUCAAGCUGAAAAUUGAAACACAGAACAACGAAAGUUGUUCGUGAGUCUCUCAAAUUUUCGCAACACGAUGAUGAAUCGUAAGAAACAUCUUCGGGUUGUGAGGUUAAGCGACUAAGCGUACACGGUGGAUGCCCUGGCAGUCAGAGGCGAUGAAGGACGUGCUAAUCUGCGAUAAGCGCCGGUAAGGUGAUAUGAACCGUUAUAACCGGCGAUUUCCGAAUGGGGAAACCCAGUGUGAUUCGUCACACUAUCAUUAACUGAAUCCAUAGGUUAAUGAGGCGAACCGGGGGAACUGAAACAUCUAAGUACCCCGAGGAAAAGAAAUCAACCGAGAUUCCCCCAGUAGCGGCGAGCGAACGGGGAGGAGCCCAGAGCCUGAAUCAGCAUGUGUGUUAGUGGAAGCGUCUGGAAAGGCGCGCGAUACAGGGUGACAGCCCCGUACACAAAAGCGCAUGUGCUGUGAGCUCGAUGAGUAGGGCGGGACACGUGGUAUCCUGUCUGAAUAUGGGGGGACCAUCCUCCAAGGCUAAAUACUCCUGACUGACCGAUAGUGAACCAGUACCGUGAGGGAAAGGCGAAAAGAACCCCGGCGAGGGGAGUGAAAAAGAACCUGAAACCGUGUACGUACAAGCAGUGGGAGCACAGGUUUACCUGUGUGACUGCGUACCUUUUGUAUAAUGGGUCAGCGACUUAUAUUCUGUAGCAAGGUUAACCGUAUAGGGGAGCCGGAGGGAAACCGAGUCUUAACCGGGCGUUAAGUUGCAGGGUAUAGACCCGAAACCCGGUGAUCUAGCCAUGGGCAGGUUGAAGGUUGGGUAACACUAACUGGAGGACCGAACCGACUAAUGUUGAAAAAUUAGCGGAUGACCUGUGGCUGGGGGUGAAAGGCCAAUCAAACCGGGAGAUAGCUGGUUCUCCCCGAAAGCUAUUUAGGUAGCGCCUCGUGAAUUCAUCUCCGGGGGUAGAGCACUGUUUCGGCUAGGGGGCCAUCCCGGCUUACCAACCCGAUGCAAACUGCGAAUACCGGAGAAUGUUAUCACGGGAGACACACGGCGGGUGCUAACGUCCGUCGUGAAGAGGGAAACAACCCAGACCGCCAGCUAAGGUCCCAAAGUCAUGGUUAAGUGGGAAACGAUGUGGGAAGGCCCAGACAGCCAGGAUGUUGGCUUAGAAGCAGCCAUCAUUUAAAGAAAGCGUAAUAGCUCACUGGUCGAGUCGGCCUGCGCGGAAGAUGUAACGGGGCUAAACCAUGCACCGAAGCUGCGGCAGCGACACUCAGGUGUUGUUGGGUAGGGGAGCGUUCUGUAAGCCUGUGAAGGUGGCCUGUGAGGGUUGCUGGAGGUAUCAGAAGUGCGAAUGCUGACAUAAGUAACGAUAAAGCGGGUGAAAAGCCCGCUCGCCGGAAGACCAAGGGUUCCUGUCCAACGUUAAUCGGGGCAGGGUGAGUCGACCCCUAAGGCGAGGCCGAAAGGCGUAGUCGAUGGGAAACGGGUUAAUAUUCCCGUACUUGGUGUUACUGCGAAGGGGGG